rnacentral:rRNA from 1 species
CAACUUUCAACAACGGAUCUCUUGGCUCUCGCAUCGAUGAAGAACGCAGCGAAAUGCGAUAAGUAAUGUGAAUUGCAGAAUUCAGUGAAUCAUCGAAUUUUUGAACGCACCUUGCGCUCCUUGGUAUUCCGAGGAGCAUGCCUGUUUGAGUGUC